GGAAAGUGCCAUAGCUUAGUGGAAGAGCAUCUGUUGUUCCUGCAGAAGGUACCAGGUUUAAUCCUUGGCACUUUCCA